GACCCAGAUGUUGUUGAGGUC
rnacentral:siRNA from 1 species